rnacentral:rRNA from 1 species
UGCAACUCGACUCCAUGAAGCUGGAUUCGCUAGUAAUCGCGCAUCAGCCAUGGCGCGGUGAAUACGUUCCCGGGCCUUGUACACACCGCCCGUCAAGCCAUGGGAGUCGGGAGUGCCUGAAGUUCGUGACCGUCACAGGAGCGACCUAAGGCAAGACCGAUGACUGGGGCUAAGUCGUAACAAGGUAGC